rnacentral:lncRNA from 1 species
UGGGUUAGAAUGGGCGAGGUCGGUAUUGGUGUUAGCUUUGGCAUUGGAAUAAGAUGAAGGGCUGACAUCAUUGGACAAGAUUAUUGAUUGUUCUAUCCUAUUUCAUUUUGUAAUUAAUUAUAUUAUGUUUGCAACGUCCUUGGUUAUGGCUUGGUUUAUGGCCCUUGUUUUGAUAUGGUUUGUAUAGUUGGAUUAUUGGUAUGGGAUGGUUGAACUCAGUUGGGUUGGUCACGGUUGUGAUCUUA